AAUAACAAUUAAUGUCUAUACACUAAAAUCAAAUAGUUUUCUUAUUUUAGAAUAAAUAUAUCUUAAAAUAAAAAAUCUAAAUAAGAAUUUUUUUUGUAAAUUAAUAUCGAUAUAAAUUAAUAAAAUUUCAAAAUCUCAACAUUAUUAAUUUACAGAGGUUUUACGGCAUUAUGAAUAAAUACAGUUACUUAAUUAUAUGGUGUAUGAUUUGAUUUGUAAUUGAAAAAACAUGUAAAAAAUAGAGUGCUUAGUAUUGAAUAUAUGAAAUGUGGGAGGGGAUUGUUUGUAACAUAACUUGGGAUUAGUAACUACACUUUAUGAGCCACUAACGUUUUAAUAUUAUUAUUGGGCUGUGUGAAGUCCACACAAUUAAAGAAUGGUUUUUUUUUUUUUUUUUUAUCUGAAGCUUUGUAAAUUUCGUCGGCAACUAAAGGAUUGGAAAGAGUAUUUUAGGGUUCAAGCUUUGCUAAAUCGAUUCUUCUUCCUUCCAAGUAAAGAUCUGACCAGUCUGGUCCUUCAAUUAUUCGUGUAGACUCUGAUCAUCCUAUAUGGUACUCCGUUCGACACUGUUGUUGCAGAGGAGUGAAUGUUAAGUGAAUAAAGCAAAUGAAACAGGCUUUAGCUACUUUGGAGCAGAACCUUUUUGUAAAAAAAUGGCAUAAGGAGGUGAUUCAAACUGCCGAGGAGACCAUUAAAUAAUUGACUCGAACAACAUCAAGCCAUUGUUUGCGGCACCGACCCAUCAAAAACGAUAUGCAGCUGCGUAGAAAAGAAUUCUCUAAUUCACUGGCUCCUAUUUCCAAGGUACAUAUGUAUAUGGGAUUCACUGAAGAACCAUUAGUUGACAAUGGUGUUGGUGCAUUCAGAAAAAGUUAACCGAAUUGGUAUAUUCUAAUAAAUUGUUAUUUUGUGAGAGUAUAGAACAAACAAACAUAUGAAAAAAAUUUGAAUAUCACCACAAAAGGAAGGAUAAUUAGUCGGACGAAGUUAUUGUCAUUUUGUAUGAGUAAUUAAGUGGGACGAAAUUAUUUAGGCCAGUGGCAUAACUUGUAAUUUUUCUAGUAAUGAAAGGGUAUUCAAAUAACUUGGUUGAGAAGGAUUGUGAGCUUGACACAUGUGCAAAAUGGCAGUGUUGUAAUUAAAAUACAAAACAAAGGUUAUUUUCUUAAAAUGCUUCUCAAUUAAUAAGAAAGGGAUAUAUAUAUAUAUAUAUAUCAUAUAUCAUAUAAUCUGUUUAUUGGCUUCAAUCCUCCUAUAUAUUAAUUGAGAAGUUACUUUAGUGAUUCUUGCUUAUAUGUCAUUCAUACAAGAGCUCUCCAUUUAAUUCUUUUAAUUUGAUUGGUUGACAAUUUUUUUUAUUUUUGAUUUAUUAAUUCAGUUCUAAAAAAAAAAAUCAAGAACAAUCUUACAUCAAUAUCCAAACAAAUCAUACUUAACAGUAAUGGUUUUCACAAAUAUGUGUUUAAGAAACUAUGUCAUCAGUGCUUGGUUUUCCUAUAUUUUAAUGUUUCCAAUUUUAUCUAAUUAGCAUUGUAACUUUGGUAAGUUAUAAAAAAAUAAAUAGAUAUUAUACUGUACAUUUAUUCAUAUGUUAUUAAGAAUUUGAGUUAAAUUUAUAGUGAAUAAUAUUUUGAUUAAAGAUUUGGAUUGUGUUUUGUUUAUAUUACUAAAUUUUUAUAUUAAAAUAUCAAAAUUUAUAUCUCAUAGGGUAACAUAUAUUUUUCUUAAAAAUAAAUUGGAUUGGUUAAUGUUUUUUUUUAACUUGAUUUAUUUAAUUCAUUUUAAAAAUCUAAAUUCAAAUACAAACUUACACCAAUAGAAAAACAUAUCAUACUUAACAAUAAUGGCUAUCACAAUUAUGUAUUUAAGAAAUUUGUGUCAACAAUGCUCGAUUGCUCUCUAUUUUAAUGUUUCCAGUUAUAUCUAAUUAGUAUUGUAAGUUUUUAGUAAAGUAUAAAAAGAAUUAGAUUAAAGAAUUCCAAAUAAUAUUAAUAUACUAAUUAAUUUUUGAAUAAAUAUUGAAACAUAAUUUGUAUCAACAUAUAUUUUAUUUGUAUAAGAGAGAUUUAAAAACAAAUUCCCUUGCAUAUUAUAUCUUACUAUAUAAAGUUUGGUUUUUCAAAGUUGUUAAUUAACAUGAUCGCGACACAUGAUAAUUAUAUAUUUUAAGAUUCUGACAUGUGUUAAUAUAUCUCAUAAUUAAAAAUAUAUAUAAUAAGAUACUAACAAACACAAAUUUUAUUAAAAAAGUAAUUAUAAAUAUUAUUUAAUCGUAAUUUUCCUUUUUUAAAUCCUAAUCAAAAGAUUAUUGCAAAAUAUUAUUUGAUAAUAACUUUUCUUCUAAUAUUGUGACAUGCGUUUAAUAUAUAAUGAUUAAAAAAUAUAUAUAAUAAGAUAAU